UACGUAGGGUGCAAGCGUUAAUCGGAAUUACUGGGCGUAAAGCGCGCGUAGGCGGCUUUGCAAGUCGGGUGUGAAAUCCCCAGGCUUAACCUGGGAACUGCAUUCGAGACUGCAUUGCUAGAGUAUGGGAGAGGGAAGUGGAAUUUCAGGUGUAGCGGUGAAAUGCGUAGAUAUCUGAAGGAACAUCAGUGGCGAAAGCGACUUCCUGGACCAAUACUGACGCUCAUGUGCGAAAGCGUGGGGAGCAAACAGG
rnacentral:rRNA from 1 species